AAGCAGAAUUCUUUCUUCUUUGUGGAAGCUUGCUGAUUGCUGACAAUCUACAGUCUAAAUGAUGGUCAAGAAAUACUGCAGUAACUCUACUGGAGCCACUGGAGUGAGGAACCCUAGCAAAGAAAGAAAAGCUGAAAGUCUACUCCACAAUUAACAAAAAGGAGCCUGUAGUGAGGAAAAAGGAGCCCUGGGAUUCCCAAGAGGUGGGCUGGAUUCAGAAAGCAGAAGAAGACCCAUCUCUGCUGGGCAGAGUUUUCUCCUGCAUUAAUUGCCCCUGAAAGAAGAUGCCGGAAAAGCAAGGCUGAUAUGUAGGGGUCAGUCAGUGAAUGAGGAUGCACCAUACCUCUGUUCAGAUCAUUGACUCAGAACCUGAAGACACGAACACCAGAUGCAAGCGAUUUCUUCAAAUUGUGUCCUUGCAAUUAUUAUUCUGAAUCUCUAUUGAAA